rnacentral:rRNA from 1 species
CGAACGUUUUCGGAAUCCYGGGCUUAAAGGGUGCGCAGGCGGCUUGGUAAGUCAGGUGUGAAAUUUCUCAGCUCAACUGAGAAACUGCGCUUGAAACUACCAAGCUUGAGUUUCCUAGGGGUAUGCGGAACUUCCAGUGGAGCGGUGAAAUGUGUUGAUAUUGGAAGGAACGCCGUUGGCGAAAGCGGCMUACUGGGGGAAUACUGACGCUCAUGCAGAAAGCUASGGUAGCGAACGGGAUUAGAUACCCCGGUAGUCCUAGCUGUAAACGUUGAGUACUUGUUGGAAGGGGGUUCGC